UUAACUUUCUUAACUUUUCCCAUUCAUUCUCUAUGGUAGUUCUUAACACUACGGAUGCAAUAUGCUUUUGUCCACUACGCAUUUUGGCGCUGUUGCGCUGUUGAGCUGCAUUUUAAAAAUAUUGGCAGCCAUCUUUGAAUCAUUUGUUGUGGUCGGCGUUACCGAUGACAGAUAUCGGACUGACUUUUUACUCUCAGAAAGUUGCGUCUGUGUCCCCCUUUAGGUUUGAGCCCUCGUCCUCCCAACUGACCCUGUGGCUCUCCGCUGCAGCAGAACUGGCCCUUGAGUACCGCCAGAAGGGGACCACUACCUAGAAGAUCAAGAGGGUGGACAGGGUGUGCAUGGAGGCAAGGGACACAGUGGCACUGAAAGGAGGCGACCCCAGAGCGUGAAGUGCGCAGGCUGAUGGGUCGGGCGCCGAUACAGCUGUGUGAGCUAAAUCAAAGGGCACUCUCCCAAUGGUCCGUCAGAACACAGAGGGAGACAGAGAGGACUGUGGUGGCACCUUGACCAGGCACUGCAGACGGGCUCAGCAGGGUCGACCCAGAACCCAGUAGCAUCGGCAACGUAUCGUCCAGCAGCAGUGGACCCACAGCCCAGCAGCAGUGGCGGUGUAUCGUCCAACAUUAGCUGACCCAGGGCCCAGCAGCAUCAGCAGUGACAGCAGCGCACCCAGGAUCCAGCAGCAGUGGCGCUGUAUCAGCAGCGGACCCAGAGCCACCAGCAGUGUCAGUGUAUCGCCCAGCAACAGCGGACCCAGGGCCAGCAGUAGUGUCUAACAGGCUUGUGCAAAAUUCCAGAAUGGAAUUGAAACUGGCUCUUAAAUUCCAAUUUAAUUCUUGAAUUUUACUUGCAUUUCAAAUGAGGUAGCAAACAGGAAGCAGAAUUGCAAUUCGAAUUGUGCACAACCCUGGUGUCUAAGUGUAUCGUCCAGAAGCAGCCGACCCACACACACGCACACAGGCACACAGACACACACACACACACACACACACACACACUUUGCCUUCUUCAGCUGGUGUUUAUUUAGUCAUAGUAUGCUGUUCUCCAAUGUUCUGUAAUUUUUUGUAUCACUUAAUAUAAUCCUUAAUAUAGUCUUACCAUGUCAUUGUUUUUUUUAUAGUAGUAUUGUUAUUCUCCUUAUUAUAGUUUGACCAACAUUCUAAUCUGUUCCCUGUUCAAUUUUAAAUAUUAUG